rnacentral:rRNA from 1 species
UACGAAGGGGGCUAGCGUUGCUCGGAAUCACUGGGCGUAAAGGGUGCGUAGGCGGGUCUUUAAGUCAGAGGUGAAAUCCUGGAGCUCAACUCCAGAACUGCCUUUGAUACUGAAGAUCUUGAGUUCGGGAGAGGUGAGUGGAACUGCGAGUGUAGAGGUGAAGUUCGUAGAUAUUCGCAAGAACACCAGUGGCGAAGGCGGCUCACUGGCCCGAUACUGACGCUGAGGCACGAAAGCGUGGGGAGCAAACAGG